GAUGAACGCUGGCGGCGUGCCUAAUACAUGCAAGUCGAGCGAACAGACGAGGAGCUUGCUCCUCUGACGUUAGCGGCGGACGGGUGAGUAACACGUGGAUAACCUACCUAUAAGACUGGGAUAACUUCGGGAAACCGGAGCUAAUACCGGAUAAUAUAUUGAACCGCAUGGUUCAAUAGUGAAAGACGGUUUUGCUGUCACUUAUAGAUGGAACCGCGCCGCAUUAGCUAGUUGGUAAGGUAACGGCUUACCAAGGCAACGAUGCGUAGCCGACCUGAGAGGGUGAUCGGCCACACUGGAACUGAGACACGGUCCAGACUCCUACGGGAGGCAGCAGUAGGGAAGCUUCCGCAAUGGGCGAAAGCCUGACGGAGCAACGCCGCGUGAGUGAUGAAGGUCUUCGGAUCGUAAAACUCUGUUAUUAGGGAAGAACAAAUGUGUAAGUAACUAUGCACGUCUGGACGGUACCUAAGCAGAAAGCCACGGCUAACUACGU
rnacentral:rRNA from 1 species